GCCUGAAUCUGCAAGUCCUCUACUUCACUCACAUGCUAAGCUCCAUAGGAAAGUAGGAUGAAGCUUCAGAUUGAAGCACCUUCACAAGGCCACCAGAAGAGGGAAGAGAGCUGCUGGUGUGAUGCCUCACACGAGCAAAGAAGAUGUCCAAGAAGGACUCAUGAUAAGGAGGAAGAGCGGCGGCAAUAAGAGAAUGCCAAGAGGAGAUUGGUUAAGAAAUUUAAGAAUUAUUCUCACUCAGGAGAAAGUCUCCUACAUUCUGGACACACCUACACCA
rnacentral:lncRNA from 1 species